GACGUUACCCUACUAGAAAAGAGCCCCUAACUUUCGUGCCAGAAGCUUCGGUAAUUCGGGGGGUUUCAAGCGUUAUCCGGUUUUAUUGGGCGUAAAGAGUCGGUAGGGUGGUGGGGUAAGUUAUCUUCCAAAUAUCUUUGCUUAACAAAGAGGAGGGGGAUAAUACUGCUUGACUAGAAUUUUCUCAAGGGAGAUCGGAACUGAGGGAGGAGUUAGUGAAAAUGCGUUGAUACCCUCGGGAACACCAGUGGCGUAGGCGGAUCUCUGGGAGAAGAUUGACACUGAGACACGAAAGCUAGGGGAGCGAAGCAGAUUAGAGACCUGCGUAGUCCUAGCCGUAAACGCAUGCUUGCUAGCUGCAUGAAUCUACCUUCGGGUGGUAUCGUGUGGCGAAGGUAACCCGUUAAGCAAGCCGCCUGGAAAGUACGGCCGCAAGGCUGAAAUUCAAAGGAAUUGGCGGGGAGGCACACAACCAGUGGAACAUGUGGUUUAAUUCGAGACUAACCGAAGAACCUCACCAGGGUUUGACAUGUAGCUGCACGUCUUAAGAAAUUAAGACUCUCUUGAAGGUGCUACACAGGUGCUGCAUGGCUGUCGUCAGCUCGUUCCGUGAGGAGUGCCCUUAAGUGGGACAACGAGCGCAACCCCUAUUACAUGUUAGAAAUGUCAUGUAAGACUGCCUUGCCAUUUGGCGGGGAGGAAGGAGGGGCAGACGUCAAGUCCGCAUGGUCCUUAUGCCCUGGGCUACACACAUGUUACAAUGAGUACGGCAAUGAGUCUGUCGCGAGCACGUAAGUGUAAGCUAAUCUCUUAAAUGUACUCUCAGUGGGGAUUGAGGUCUGCAACUCGACCUCAUGAACACGGAAUUGGUAGUAAUCGCGGGUCAGCUAUACCGCGGGAAUA
rnacentral:rRNA from 1 species